rnacentral:rRNA from 1 species
AUUGAACGCUGGCGGCAUGCCUUACACAUGCAAGUCGAACGGUAACAGGCCUUCGGAUGCUGACGAGCGGCGAACGGGCGGGUAAUACAUCGGAACGUGCCCGAUCGUGGGGGAUAACGAAGCGAAAGCUAUGCUAAUAUCGCAUCCGAUCUACGGACGAGAGCAGGGGACCGCAAGGCCAAGCGCGAACGGAGCGGCCGGGGGCAGAUUAGGUGGUUGGUGGGAUAAACGCUUACCAAGCCGACGAUCUGUAGCUGGACUGAGAGGACGAGCGGCCACACUGGGAGUGAGACACCGCCCAGACUCCUGCGGGAGGCAGCAGUGGGGAAUUUUGGACAAUGGGCGAAAGCCUGAUCCAGCCAUGCCGCGUGCAGGAUGACGGCCUUCGGGUUGUAAACUGCUUUUGUACGGAACGAACAGACUCUGGUUAAUACCUGGGGUCCAUGACGGUACCGUAAGAAUAAGCACCGGCUAACUACGUG